UUAUGGCUCAGGAUGAACGCUAGCUACAGGCUUAACACAUGCAAGUCGAGGGGCAGCAUGAAGUUUGCUUGCAAACUUGAUGGCGACCGGCGCACGGGUGAGUAACGCGUAUCCAACCUUCCCUAUACUAGAGGAUAGCCCGGCGAAAGUCGGAUUAAUACUCUAUAUUCUUCGUAGAAGACAUCUGAAAUGAAGCAAAGGUUUACCGGUAUAGGAUGGGGAUGCGUCUGAUUAGGUUGUUGGCGGGGUAACGGCCCACCAAGCCCACGAUCAGUAGGGGUUCUGAGAGGAAGGUCCCCCACAUUGGAACUGAGACACGGUCCAAACUCCUACGGGAGGCAGCAGUGAGGAAUAUUGGUCAAUGGACGAGAGUCUGAACCAGCCAAGUAGCGUGCAGGAUGACGGCCCUAUGGGUUGUAAACUGCUUUUAUACAGGGAUAAAGUGACGUACGUGUACGUUUUUGUAGGUACUGUAUGAAUAAGGACCGGCUAAUUCCGUGCCAGCAGCAGC
rnacentral:rRNA from 1 species